AACAACUGUUUGUACUAUUGGUGUGCGAUACUGCAAUAUUUGGUAUCAAUCCGAUACCAAGUAAAUACAGGGCCAAUAUUGCUGAUACUGAUUAUUUUCAAUAAUUAAGGGGGAUGAAUUUUCAUAACCUUUAGCCUAAGUGUUUUGUGAUUUUACAUUUGGAUUAUAAGUUAAAACCAUGGACAGCAUUUUCAUAUGCUUGUUUAAAUUUGUUGUGUUAUCAC